GAUGAACGCUGGCGGCGUGCCUAAUACAUGCAAGUCGAGCGAACAGAUGAGAAGCUUGCUUCUCUGAUGUUAGCGGCGGACGGGUGAGUAACACGUGGGUACCUACCUAUACGACUGGGAUAACUCCGGGAAACAGGGGCUAAUACCGGAUAAUAUUUUGAACCGCAUGGUUCAAUAGUGAAGGACGGUUUCGGCUGUCACUUAUAGAUGGACCCGCGCCGUAUUAGCUAGUUGGUAAGGUAACGGCUUACCAAGGCGACGAUACGUAGCCGACCUGAGAGGGUGAUCGGCCACACUGGAACUGAGACACGGUACAGACUCCUACGGGAGGCAGCAGUAGGGAAUCUUCCGCAAUGGGCGAAAGCCGGACGGAGCAACGCCGCGUGAGUGAUGAGGGUCUUCGGAUCGUAAAACUCUGUUGUUAGGGAAGAACAAAUCUGUUAGUAACUGAACAAGUCUUGACGGUACCUAACCAGAAAGCCACGGCUAACUGCGUGCCAGCAGCCGCAGUAA
rnacentral:rRNA from 1 species